UAGGGAAUAUUGGGCAAUGGGCGAGAGCCUGACCCAGCCAUGCCGCGUGCAGGAAGAAGGCUUUCUGAGUCGUAAACUGCUUUUGAUAGGGAAGAAUAAGCUUCACGUGUGGAGUGAUGACGGUACCUACAGAAUAAGCACCGGCUAACUCCGUGCCAGCAGCCGCGGUAAUACGGAGGGUGCGAGCGUUGUCCGGAUUUAUUGGGUUUAAAGGGUGCGUAGGCGGCCGUUUAAGUCUGGGGUGAAAGCCCGCUGCUCAACAGCGGAACUGCCCUGGAUACUGGAUGGCUUGAAUACAGUGGAGGUUGGCGGAAUGGACUGAGUAGCGGUGAAAUGCAUAGAUACAGUCCAGAACCCCGAUUGCGAAGGCAGCUGACUACACUGGUAUUGACGCUGAGGCACGACAGCGUGGGGAGCGAACA
rnacentral:rRNA from 1 species